AAGUAGAAAUACAAAAAAAUGUUAAAAUAUUUUAAUCUUUUCAAUUAACAAUUUGCGAUUGGUUAGCGCAAAUCUUCAAAUUGAAAUGAGCGGAAGGAAAUUAUUAUUCGAUGGAAAGUAUUUAACUGUUGAGGCGGGGGUGGUAGGUGAUAAAAAUAAGGCGUCGUAUACAUUAGAUCUUCGACACUCGUAAUGGGCGCCGUCCUAGGCACCAAGGAGCGCACCGUGCCAUACAAACUCCUGUUAUGACGACUACUUCCAUAUAAAUUUAUCAUUGCACUCAAUAAACAGUCAAGGGCACAUUCACAAUUUAAAAAGUUUCACUUGAAAUGCGCGCGAAAAGAUAUUUGCACAGAUUAUACGAUGUCACACGCGAAGUUUAUUGAAUUACUUUCCUGGCGACACAUACAAAGCAAGGAGAAAAUGCUAUGUCAAAUAAGUGAAAAACACACGCAUUGGCACGCGCCGAUACACAUGAAUGAGUUUGAAAAGUUUGUCAUCA